rnacentral:lncRNA from 1 species
CCAGCACCGCCCGGGCCAAAGCGGCGUCGGGGGCUGCGGGCGGGGCGGGGAACGGGAGCGCGGCGAGGAGCAGAGGAGGAGGAGGAGGAAAGGUAAAAGAGGGCCGGGAGGGGGGGAAGCUCGGCUCCUCGGAGGGGUCCGCUGUCGGCGCGAACGCAGAUAAAUGAGCCUGUAGAGAAUUUCUCCUUGAGCUUUUCUGAACGUCAGCUGAAGGCUUAAGAGGUGAUGUCUGAGGAACAACCAUAAGUUGCCAAGCUGGAGCUUCCUCUAGUUCAUGUGGCCCUCAUUUACACCCAAAGAGCGAGAGGAGACCAAGGGCCGUUAAUUUUAAGACAUCUAUAAUAAAAAAAGUUAUCUCUUGUCGGCAGUGGCAGGGAAAAAAAGAUAAAAGGUGCUGUGUGGUGCGAUUGCUGGCAGAUGGCACUGUUGGGAGCCCAGAUCUUCGCGGCGCGCAGCAGCAUGGCAGGGAGGGGAUGGGGCUGCUUCCACAAUUAACCUGAACCACAGAUCUGUUUACAGCAAUCUAAUCCAUAUGUGCUAAUAUCUUGCUGCUACACGAGUGAAACUCUCUCUUGGAUUGUUCUCAGAAUGUACUUUCUGCACAUCUGGCUUCAUAUGAACAGGGCAUUUGCUUCUACUGUUCCUGCAAGGAAUACAGCAUACCUUAUUCCAUCUGGAAGCAAAACAAAAGACAGCAUUACAGUGAAAUCCUCAGUAUUGUUAUUUUCCAGAUACAAAGCUCAAGUAAUUUAAGAAUCCUUCCCUUCCCUUCCCUUCCCUUCCCUUCCCUUCCCUUCCCUUCCCUUCCCUUCCCUUCCCUUCCCUUCCCUUCCCUUCCCUUCCCUUCCCUUCCCUUCCCUUCCCUUCCCUUCCCUUCCCUUCCCUUCCCUUCCCUUUCCCCUUUCCUUUCCUUUUUUUCUUCCUUUUUUUUUCUUUUUUUUUUCUUUUUAAAUAAAAUUGUCUGUGCAACUUCUUGGCUUCUGAUUUACUUGAAAGUACAACCAUUUCAUGCAAUAUCCAAUCUAUUCAACUGACUAUCACACAUAUAGGACAAUGAAAUUACAGUCAUAAACAACUUCUUUUC